rnacentral:rRNA from 1 species
UACGUAGGUGGCAAGCGUUGUCCGGAUUUACUGGGCGUAACGAGCGCGCAGGCGGUCGUUUAAGUCGAAUGUGAAAGCCCCCGGCUCAACUGGGGAGGGUCAUUCGAUACUGAUCGACUUGAAGGCAGGAGAGGGAAGUGGAAUUCCGGGUGUAGUGGUGAAAUGCGUAGAUAUCCGGAGGAACACCAGUGGCGAAGGCGACUUCCUGGCCUGUUCUUGACGCUGAGGCGCGAAAGCUGGGGGAGCAAACGGG